GAUGAACGCUGGCGGCGUGCCUAAUACAUGCAAGUCGAGCGAACGGACGAGUAGUUUGCUUUUCUGAUGUUAGCGGCGGACGGGUGAGUAACACGUGGAUAACCUCCCUAUAAGACUGGGAUAACUUCGGGAAACCGGUGCUAAUACCGGCUAAUAUUUUGAAACGCAUGGUUAAUUAGUGAAAGCCGGUCUUGCUGUUACUUAUAGAUGGAUCCGCGCUGCAUUAGCUAGUUGGUAAGGUAACGGCUUACCAAGGCAACGAUGCAUAGCCGACCUGAGAGGGUGAUCAGCCACACUGGAACUGAGACACGGCCCAGACUCCUACGGGAGGCAGCAGUAGGGAAUCUUGCGCAAUGGGCGAAAGCCUGACGGAGCAACGCCGCGUGAGUGAUGAAGGUCUUCGGGUCGUAAAGCACUGUUGUUAGGGAAGAACAUAUGUGUAAGAAUCUGUGCACAUCUUGACGGUACCUAAUCAGAAAGCCACGGCUAACUACGUG
rnacentral:rRNA from 1 species